rnacentral:rRNA from 1 species
UUAUAUUUGGACUUUCGGAAAAAAUUAUGCUGUUAUCCCUACGGUAGCUUAAUUUAUUUCCAGUGAGGAGAUAAGAGCGAAAAAAAUGGAAAAGAUGUAGUUUUUUGCCGCCCCAGUUCAACAAAAGUAAAGUUCGAUAGGGUCUUGUCGUCCUUCUUUUUUAUACAAGCCUUUUUACUUGUAUGUAAAAUUAAAAUAGUGAAGAAGAUAAAGAUAUUCAUAUGUCAAACCUUUCAUGCUAGCCUUUAAUUAAAAGGCAAAUGAUUAUGCUACCUUAGCACAAAAUGAUUGCGGCUAUUGAAAGUCAUUGAGCAGGUUCUACUGAAUAUUAAUUCAUUCAGAAAUGUUUUUGGUAAACAGACAAUAAAUAAAGGCCGAGUUCAUAUUCUUCAAAUAAAAUGCAAUUUUUUUAUUAGUAAUUUAAUAGAGAGGGCUAGAGGAAGUGAAAAAUUUUACUGAUAAAAUCAUUAUUGUAUAAAAAGAAGCGAUUCUUUUAAAAGAAUUUUAAAAAUCUUAGAAGCGGGUUUGAGAACCAAGAGGACACUAUUAAUCCUAAUCUUUGAAAGAAAAGUAGGAAGAAAAUUGUUUUAAAAGCUUAUCCUUUUAAAAAUUUUAGUAUUCUUACUUUAAAAGAUAACCAGAUAUCAUCAAAUUCGAGUGAAGUUUCAUCUCUAUAGACAUUUUAGUGAUUUUUAUGAAACAAAAUCAAUUAGAAUAUUUAUAGGUCAUUUUGAUUUCGGGAAUAUUUCUUAUAGAAAACAAAUUGAUUUUCCCUGAUACUAAAGGUACAAUUAUUUUCUAAAAAACAAUUGGUUAGAAUCCCUUACGGUAAAGCUAAAAAAAAGGCUAAUAGGAAGAAAAAAAUAAUUAUUUAGAUAGAUUUUUCAAAAGGAAAU